rnacentral:tRNA from 1 species
GGGCCGAUAGCUCAACGGCAGAGCAGGGGACUCAUAAUCCCUUGGUUGCAGGUUCGAAUCCUGCUCGGCCCACCA